rnacentral:lncRNA from 1 species
CAUCCCCAAGACAGCAGUUCCGUCUCUGACCCAGUGCGUCGUUGCUCUUGGGCAGGAGCUCAGCAAGUCCACAGGACCCUUGUGCAGCAGCAGCAGCAGCAGCAGCAGCGGCAGCAGCAGCAGCAGCAGCAGGACAUACCUUCCCUCGGCUGCAGAAGCACUUGCUGGCCUGGAGUGACAGAGAGCAGCGUCACCUCUCCUCGUGUCAGGGUGGCCUGUGGAGCACCAGAAGUAUUACUAGCAAGGCCGAGGGCUUCACCCUCCCGUUGCAGCCCGAACCCCAUCCCAAUCUCCAUAUCACUUGCCUACAAGCUGCCUUUGCCUCCCCUGGCCUCGUCUCAGGUCCUGCCCUGCUCCUGGUCACGUAGGCUUGAAAUAGCAGGGAAGAGGAGUUAUCUGGCUGGAGAGAGAACAGGGACAACCUUUACGUUCUCGUUCGUGGAGUCGCAGCUCCUGCAGGUGAAGCCGGACAGCCAAGGCCAUCACCAGGCGCUGCAGACCGAAGAGCAGAGGCCUACAGAGCAGAGAGCGCGAGAGCGGGGCUGUGGGUUGCUGUGGCACUGGGGACUCGGUAAAGAGGCGUUAUCAGGAAGCGCCCUGAGGAGGCAUCAUGAGCGCGCCGGCACCAAGGCCAGGCAGGAGAAGCUAGCGCAGAUGGCGAGGGAGCUAUCUCCAGGUAGUCUACAGACCUCGCGAUCUCCUGCUGCCUUCUUAGCUCCCGGUACCUCCUCAGGGUACGCUGGGUGCCCACGUCCCUCCCUCCAACCCAAUGUCCUCCUACCCCGAGGAGAGCGACGUGGCAAAGCAACAGCGCACGAGGCGCUCGGCAGGCGCCGGUGUGAGCCGGUGACAAGCCUGCCACUGCCUCCCGCUUCACAGCUGCGGGGAGGAGGGUGCAGAAGAGCUGCACCUCGCGUUUCUCUUGAACUGCCUUUCCCACUGUCUUUCCUAAACCCUCCUUUGUCUAUUUGUCUUUAUCAUUUUUGCAAUUCUGUGAGACUGAAAGAAAAAAAAAAAGUAACGAAAAGCAUUAAGGGCUGCAGGGACCAAGCUGAGGAAAGGGAAACACUGACAGCGCCUUCUGCUCCAGCGGCAGCAAAAGAUGCAGCAGGUAACCAGCUGGGGCCCGGCGAAAACAGUCCCUGGAGCUGGUGCUCCUGCACCUCCAAGGUCACGUCAGGCACCGUUAUCAACACCAGGUGCUGA